rnacentral:ncRNA from 1 species
UACCUGGUUGAUCCUGCCAGUAGUCAUAUGCUUGUCUCAAAGAUUAAGCCAUGCAAGUCUAAGUACGAGCUCUCGUACAGUGAAACUGCGAAUGGCUCAUUAAAUCAGUUAUGGUUCAUUUGAUCGUACAGUUUACUUGGAUAACUGUGGUAAUUCUAGAGCUAAUACAUGCGAGAAGCGCCGACCUCGCGGGAGGCGUGCAUUUAUCAGACCAAAAACCGGCCGCGUCUUCGGGCGCGUUCGCCUUGGUGACUCUGGAUAACUUUGCGGAUCGCACGGUCUAGCACCGGCGACGGAUCAUUCAAGUGUCUGCCCUAUCAACUUUCG